UCACUAGGAAAAUUGACAACUUCUCUAAGUUGGAUGCUGCCAAGCAUUACUCUGAUGCCUUCGUCAUCGGUUGUUUUGAAUGGGGGAACAACAGCAUAGGCUACUUAUCGCUCCAUCUGGACGUUACAGGUUCUUCAACAUUGCCAAAAGGGUGGGCUAGACAUGUGCGAUUCAGCUUGACUGUCGUCAAUCAACUACAAAGCAGCAAAUCAAUAACAAAUG